AGUUGUGCGGUUAAAAGCUCGUAGUUGAAACUGUGUCCUGCGGCGUCGGUCUGCCGAUUGCGGCACGACAGGCGCGACUGCGGGGCUUCUCGCCGGUGCGUCCCCCGCCGUCAAGGGUGUGCCGCUUGCGUCCCCGUUCCGUCGUCCGUUUCCGCGUGUCAGAUGCGGACGCGCAAAAAGGGCGUGCGACUGUCCGGGUUCGUCUCGCGCGUUCCCGCCGGCGCUCAUCGCAUCAGCGGUGUGCCGUCGGUCGGGGCGCGCUUGCGUUCUCGGCGUCCUCGCUUGCGUCUCGCGUUCGGCGCGGUGCGGGUCAAACGGCGGACGGGUAAAAGGCGUGGGCGCGUCGCCUCGGCGGGACGUCGCGGCCGUUUACUUUGAACAAAUUAGAGUGCUCAAAGCGGGCUAACACACGCCUGAAUAUUUUACGCAUGGAAUAAUGGAAUAGGACCUCGGUUCUGUUUUGUUGGCUUUCUGUUAACCGGAGGUAAUGAUUAAUAGGGACAACUGGGGGCAUUCGUAUUGCGACGUUAGAGGUGAAAUUCUUGGAUCGUCGCAAGACGGACUAAAGCGAAAGCAUUUGCCAAAGGUGUUUUCAUUAAUCAAGAACGAAAGUUAGAGGUUCGAAGGCGAUUAGAUACCGCUGUAGUUCUAACCAUAAAUGAUGCCAGCCAGCGAUCCGCCGAAGUUUUCUCAUAUUUAACCCGGUGGGCAGCUCCCGGGAAACCAAAGCUUUC
rnacentral:rRNA from 1 species